GAUGUCUCGGCUCGAACAACGAUGAAGGGCGCAGCGAAGUGUGAUAAGCAUUGUGAAUUGCAGGAUUCCGUGAACCAAUAGGGACUUGAACGUACACUGCGCUUUCGGGAUAUCCCUGAAAGCAUGCCUGCUUCAGUGUC
rnacentral:rRNA from 14 species